rnacentral:rRNA from 1 species
GACGUAGGGAGCGAGCGUUGUCCGGAUUUACUGGGCGUAAAGCGCACGUAGGCGGUCUGUUAAGUGAGAAGUGAAAUCCCCAGCGCUCAACGCGGGAACUGCUUUUCAUACUGGCAGACUUGAGGGAUGUAGAGGUAAGUGGAAUUCCUGGUGUACCGGUGACAUGGGUUGAUAUCAGGAGGAACACCCGAGGCGAAGGCGGCUUACUGGACAUCUCCUGACGCUGAGGUGCGAAAGCGUGGGUAGCAAA